rnacentral:rRNA from 1 species
GAUGAACGCUGGCGGCGUGCCUAAUACAUGCAAGUCGAGCGAACGGACGAGAAGCUUGCUUCUCUGAUGUUAGCGGCGGACGGGUGAGUAACACGUGGAUAACCUACCUAUAAGACUGGGAUAACUUCGGGAAACCGGAGCUAAUACCGGAUAAUAUUUUGAACCGCAUGAUUCAAAAGUGAAAGACGGUCUUGCUGUCACUUAUAGAUGGAUCCGCGCUGCAUUAGCUAGUUGGUAAGGUAACGGCUUACCAAGGCAACGAUGCAUAGCCGACCUGAGAGGGUGAAUGGGCAAACUGGAAAUGAGACCCCGUCCAGACUCCCAAGGGAGGCCGCAGUAGGGAAUUCUCCGGAAUUGGCCAAAGGCCUAACGAGCAAACGCGGCGUAGUGAUGAAGGUUCUUCGAAUCUAAAACUCCUUUAAUAGGGAAAAAACAAAGGGUUAGUAACUAUGCACAUCUUGACGGUACCUAAUCAGAAAGCCACGGCUAACUACGUG